rnacentral:rRNA from 1 species
AACGAACGCUGGCGGCAGGCUUAACACAUGCAAGUCGAGCGCCCCGCAAGGGGAGCGGCAGACGGGUGAGUAACGCGUGGGAAUCUACCCAUCCCUACGGAAUAGCUCCGGGAAACUGGAAUUAAUACCGUAUACGCCCUACGGGGGAAAGAUUUAUCGGGGAUGGAUGAGCCCGCGUUGGAUUAGCUAGUUGGUGGGGGAAAGGCCUACCAAGGCGACGAUCCAUAGCUGGUCUGAGAGGAUGAUCAGCCACAUUGGGACUGAGACACGGCCCAAACUCCUACGGGAGGCAGCAGUGGGGAAUAUUGGACAAUGGGGGCAACCUUGAUCCAGCCAUGCCGCGUGAGUGAUGAAGGCCUUAGGGUUGUAAAGCGCUUUCACCGGGGAAGAUAAUGACGGUAACCGGAGAAGAAGCCCCGGCUAACUUCGUGCCAGCCGCCGCGGUAA